GGAAUGCAGCCGUGGUUCUGCUGAGCGUGUUCCUGGCCCUGUGGGUCACUGUCCUGGCUCUCGGGGGGAAAUUGGGUUUCUGCUGUGCACCUGGGCUGAGAAGACUCUGCUUGGAACCCACGGGAUUCACGGGGCCACUUCUUAGAACUUUUACCCCCAUGAUACAGUUCAGUGGAAAACUAGUAACCCAAUGCGGAGAGGACUAGUCAGGGCUCAGUUACUUUGAGAUGAAGGUUUGGGUCUCCCAACCUGCUGAGGAGCUGGUAGAGGGUCAGGUGAGCACAGACUGGCUAAUCAAAGAAGGAAGUUAUGACCUUGAGCUCUGGCCUCGCGACAGGCUACAAAAGUGCUGACUACGGCAUAGCUGUAUUUAUUUUAUGCUCACUCAUUCUCUACCCUCCCCUUUCCCUACGACUUUACAUGAAGAGUAUAAAGUACUAACGUCAGAAUUUAGAUUUCCGGUGGGAGUACACUGGGGACGACGUCAAUAACGGCACAGAGGCUGAUGACACUUGCGUCUCCGUGUGUUUGGGAUGAGAUUUUCAUUACUCAAUUGAAAGGCAAAAAUGGAAACGGACGGAAUGUCGCAAAGCCAGAACAAAGAACCAACUUGAUCCGCAACAGGCUCUUCAUUUCCAUGUCCGGGAAAGCCACCUGGGUUCUUUCCACAUCACCUCUUCCUGCGAUUCCCAGUGCCUUCAGGCUCUGUUUCUACAGAUAAACGAACCUGUGCUCUGGAGUUGCUGGCUAAUACAUCACUGCUUCCAGCUGAUUGAAGGUGGUCAGUGCUGGGAAUGCAGACGUGAGGAGAGGCUGGCAGGCGAAACAUGCAACUCUUGAGGUUCCCAUUCUGCCUUUCUCAGGAUUCCUCCACUGUCUGGCAAUUUAGUCUCUAUCCUUGUUGUCACAUGUGGCUGCAUUAAUUCUAGACCUUACAUCAUUGACAGAAGCUAUAGCAGAGAGGAAUCUUUUUGUCAGAAGCCCUGGAAAUGUCUUCUCAAGUCUCAUUGCCUUGAUCGGGUUUCAUGUCUGCCUUUGGAAAAAAGAGAUAAAACAGAAUGAUUGCUGUAUGGGAAUCAGGCCUGGCUCCUGGAGUUUGAGGUCAGGUUAAGCAAGACCACAUGGAUUAGAAUGGAGAAAAAAGUGGUUUUCCAAAGAAAUGUUGUGGUUCUGAUGGUGGGACAGUGGAGAAAGGGAUCCUGAAGAGGCUGACUGCAAGCAUCCGAGGGCAGCGAACUGUCCGAGGUCAAGUACAUGCUUACGGCCAGGGUGAAACUAGAGCCUGGCUCUCCUCACUCAGCAUCUGCAUGUGGAUGGUUACAUAAUCCCUCCUAAGGCAACCUAUGCUUCCCAACAGACAUUGAAGUGGAACUCUGGAGUUGCUCGUUAGGUUCAGUUUAUUCUUCAGCUGUGAUUACAAAUAAGCCCAGACACACCUUGCUCUUUAGUUACGAUAAUGAGUACAAUUGUUUGAGUUAUUUAAUUUUGCAUCUUAUUAAGCCACGAAGGCUUUCAGGGGAAAACGAGUAGAUUUUAAAGAUGAGAGCUCAAAAAGACAAAAAAAGAGAGAGAGCUAUAUCAUUGAAAUUCAUGCCCUUUCGUCUUACCGAGGUUUUAGUUGUCUUCUGGCUGCUGGAAGACAUUUUGUAGGUGAAAUAAUGGUUUUGGGGCGACCUGUAUGAGAUGUUUUGGCCUGAAGUUUUGCUUUCAUUUUUCUGGGAAAAAUGCUUGCUAAUGUCCCCCAAUGAGAUCCCAGUCACUUAUUCAGGAAUUACAGAGGCGAAGAAGGAGGACGGAAGGCAGGCUCUGAGUGCCUACUAUGUGCCGGGCACCAAGCUAGGCACUGAGGAUGAGGAAGAGGAGGCAUGGCUCUCGAGGAGCUCCAUGACAAGUGGGAGAGGCUGCUAGUUCAAGGGAUAAGAAAAAUGCUACACUGCAUUCAGUAAUACCUGGAAGAAGAGGGUGCUUUGAAAACACAGAGGAAGCAGGGUGUUGGGAACCCGGAGAGCUGGGGAAGGCUUUGCGAAGGAGGAGAACCCCUCAGAGGAUGGCUGAAGUUACCUAGGGGAAAAGAGGAGAGGCUAGUCUACUCAGAGAAGACUCGCGACGGCAUCUGGCCUCUCUCAGCAAGUUUCCAUGAAACUCCAGGCAACCCUGGUGAACUUCCAAAAAAGGAGCUCACUGGAGAGCUGUGGGAUCAUUCAGAAAACUGAAGGAAAAGCUGCAGAAUCCAGGCUCUGAAAGAGCUCCCAGGACAGAAAUAUCAGGAAUUUACUGGCAGUCUCCUGGGCUGGGGAAACAGGUCCAACCACCUUCGGUUUUUAUAUUACUCUGCCCAGGAUUCGAAUUCCAGAUGAAGCAUGUUGUACUGCCCCAGCAUGAGGGCACACCCAGGCUGAACCAGGUAGAGUCAGCAUCUGGACUGGCAGUCUCACCAAGCCUGAAUCUCAUGGGGGAGGGUGGGUUCCUGAUGCAACAGCAAAAUCAAGGUACCACUAGCCUAAGAAAGACAAAUGCUAGCGGUGUCAGCUAAAGCAGUGGGCAUCCACGUAAAAGCUGUCUGGGAGCCAGAUUUGAAGGAGACAAAAGACGGAGGGAAUUAAAAGGCGAAAGAUGAUACAGUGCGGACCAGAGCUGUGGCCGGCUCGCUAGAGAAGAACCAUGGGAUUAAGAAGACUUAUGGAAUGAAGACUGGUGGUUGACUUGAAGAGGGGGGAAGGAUCAAGGAUGAGUCCCAGGUCCUACCGUGCAGUGACAGGUAUGAGAGAGAAGGUAGAGCAGGGGAGGGAAGAUGACAAACUGCUUAGGACACAUCGAGUUUGAGGAACCUGUGGGACAUCAGGGGAUAUAGGAAUUUGAAGCACAGUAACUGAACUCAUGGACAUGGAUGAUACAGUCUAGGAAGGAUUUGGGGCGGGGGGAGCCAUGGAAAACAUCAAUAUAUAAAACAGGUCUACUGUGGAAACGAAGGUAGAAAAACAGAAAGAAUGGAGAGAAGGGAGAGAACCAGGAAUGCUCAGGGUCAUAGAAAACCGAAGGAUUUAAGGAGAAAAGCUUUGAGCUCUAGUGCAGGUAGAGGCCACCUUCUAGGGAAAUAAUAUAUAAAUGGAAGAUGAGUUAAGUAGGACUAAAAACAUGCAAAUCAUCCUUGCAAGAAUCUUGGCUGAGAAAGGCUGGGGAAAUGCAUGGUAACUGGAAAGGGUACAGCUUCAAGGGAGUUAGAUGUGUUCUUUAAAAUUGCAGUUUGAUUUUUUUUUUAAAUGAGAUAGAAUUGAAAUAGCAUAAAAUGCACUCUGUUAAAAUUCAGUGGUUUUUUUGACAAGCUUUUGCACAGCAAAGGAAACCA